rnacentral:rRNA from 1 species
AGCGAACGCUGGCGGCAGGCCUAACACAUGCAAGUCGAGCGCCGUAGCAAUACGGAGCGGCAGACGGGAGAGUAACACGUGGGAACGUGCCGUCCAGUUCGGAACAACCCAGGGAAACUGGGGCUAAUACCGGAUACGCCCUUACGGGGAAAGAUUUAUCGAGGAAGGAGCGGCCCGCGUCUGAUUAGCUUGUUGGUGAGGUAACGGCUCACCAAGGCUACGAUCAGUAGCUGGUCUGAGAGGAUGACCAGCCUCACUGGGACUGAGACACGGCCCAGACUCCUACGGGAGGCAGCAGUGGGGAAUAUUGGACAAUGGGCGCAAGCCUGAUCCAGCCAUGCCGCGUGAGUGAUGAAGGCCUUAGGGUUGUAAAGCUCUUUCGGCGGGGAAGAUAAUGACGGUACCCGCAGAAGAAGCCCCGGCUAACUUCGUGCCAGCCGCCGCGGUAAGAC